rnacentral:rRNA from 1 species
UAGUCCUAGCAGUAAGCGGUGCUCGCUUGGUGUGAGAGGAUUCGACCCCUUUCGUGCCGGAGCUAUCGCGUUAAGCGAGCCGCCUGGGGAGUACGGUCGCAAGACUAAAACUCAAAGAAAUUGACGGGGACCCGCACAAGCGGUGGAGUAUGUGGCUUAAUUCGAUGCAACGCGAAGAACCUUACCUAGGCUUGACAUGCCGUCAUAUUCUUGUGAAAGCAGGAAGUCAGUUCGGCUGGACGUGCACAGGUGCUGCAUAGCCGUCGUCAGCUCGUGUCGUGAGAUGUUGGGUUAAGUCCCGCAACGAGCGCAACCCCUGUGAUUAGUUGCCAGCACGUAAUGGUGGGGACUCUAGUCAGACUGCCCAGAUCAACUGGGAGGAAGGUGGGGACGACGUCAGGUCAGUAUGGCCCUUAUGCCUAGGGCCGCACACGUACUACAAUGCUCAGUACAAUGAGAACCGAGACCGCGAGGUGGAGGAAAUCUAUAAAACGU